GAAUUCGCCCUUCGGGGCUCUCUUUAUUCACACACCCCUGUGCACUUUGGCCACCUCUUUGUUGAGGUGUGUCUUUUUAAUUACCAUACCCUAUAAACACAAGUUAUUGAAUGUAAAAUCGUUAUAAACUAAUAUAACUUUCAACAACGGAUCUCUUGGUUCU
rnacentral:misc_RNA from 1 species